AGAAUCAACGCUGGCGGCGUGCCUCAGACAUGCAAGUCGAACGAUUAAAGCUCUCUUCGGAGAGUGUAUAGAGUGGCGCACGGGUGAGUAACACGUAAGUAAUCUACCUUUGAGUGGGGAAUAACAGUCGGAAACGACUGCUAAUACCGCAUAAUGCAGCGGCAUCGCAAGAUGACAGGUUAGUUAAAGGAGCAAUCCGACUUAAAGAGGAGCUUGCGGCAGAUUAGCUAGUUGGUAAGGUAAUGGCUUACCAAGGCUACGAUCUGUAACCGGUCUAAGAGGACGGUCGGUCACACUGACACUGAAUAACGGGUCAGACUCCUACGGGAGGCAGCAGUCGGGUAAGUUUGGGCAAGUGGGACGAAAGCCUGACCCAGCCGAACGCCGCGGUAGAAGGAUAG
rnacentral:rRNA from 1 species